UAAACGACUCUCGGCAACGGAUAUCUCAGCUCUUGCAUCGAUGAAGAACGUAGCGAAAUGCGAUACUUGGUGUGAAUUGCAGAAUCCCGUGAACCAUCGAGUCUUUGAACGCAAGUUGCGCCUGAAGCCAUUAGGUUGAAGGCACGUCUGCCUGGGCGUCACGC
rnacentral:rRNA from 1 species